rfam:Schistosoma mansoni strain Puerto Rico chromosome 6, complete genome
AUCCAGCUAACGAGUCCCAAAUAGGACGCAACGCGCGUCAAACUGGAU